CAACUUUUAACAACGGAUCUCUUGGUUCUGGUAUCUAUGAAAAACGCAGCGAAAUGCUAUAAGUAUUGUGAAUUGCAAAAUUCAGUGAAUCAUCGAAUCUUUGAACGCACAUUGCGCCCUUUGGUAUUCCAAAGGGCAUGCCUGUUCGAGCGUCAUUU
rnacentral:rRNA from 1 species